GCUUAACGCAUGCAAGUCGAACGGAGUUUUUAAACGGAAGUUUUCGGAUGGAAGUUUAGAAACUUAGUGGCGGACGGGUGAGUAACGCGUGGGUAACCUGCCUCAUACAGGGGGAUAACAGUUAGAAAUGACUGACUAACACCGCAUAAUAUAGCGAAACCGCAUGAUUUUUGCUAUCAAAUAUUUAUAGGUAUGAGAUGGGCCCGCGUCUGAUUAGCUAGUUGUGGGUAAAGCCUACCAAGGCGACGAUCAGUAGCCGGCUUGAGAGAGUGACCGGCCACAUUGGGACUGAGACACGGCCCAAACUCCUACGGGAGGCAGCAGUGGGGAAUAUUGGACAAUGGGGGAAACCCUGAUCCAGCGAACCGCCGCGUGAGUGAAGAAGUAUUUCGGUAUGUAAAGCUCUAUCAGCAGGGAAGAUAAUGACAGUACCUGACUAAGAAGCCCCGGCUAACUACGUGCCAGCCGCUGC
rnacentral:rRNA from 1 species